UACGUAGGGGGCUAGCGUUGUCCGGAUUUAUUGGGCGUAAAGAGCGUGUAGGCGACCAGGUAGGUCUGGUGUGAAAACUCGAGGCUUAACCUUGAGAUGUCAUCGGAAACCAUUUGGCUAGAGUCCGGAAGAGGAAAGUGGAAUUCCUGGUGUAGCGGUGAAAUGCGCAGAUAUCAGGAAGAACACCAAUGGCGAAAGCAGCUUUCUGGGACGGUACUGACGCUGAGACGCGAAAGCGUGGGGAGCGAACAGG
rnacentral:rRNA from 1 species